UCAUGUCAAAGCAGGAAGGGCUCUUAGCAUCUGAUCCAACUUGAUCAUUUUAAAGAGAAGGAAAUUGAGGCCCAGAAGAAGGAAGUGACUUGUAAAAAGUGACACAGCUAGUCCGCUGCAGGCUGAGCUUGGGAAGGGACUGUGGGGAAGGACCUCUGCUGCCAGAGGAGGGGAGGGAUGCUGAGUAACAUGAGAAGCUUCUGCACAAUUCACUGGAAAACAUGUCCAGCAAUGUUCACGGACCAGCCUUUAUAAGGAGUUUGCAGGAUCCUAGUUCCCAGACCAGCGAUUAAACGCGUGCCCUCUGCAAUGGAAGCGCAGCGUCUGAACCCCCGGACCACCAGAGAAUUUCCUUCAUGGACAAGUUUUGUAAGACGUGUACCCCUGCCGUGAGGAGGCGAGGGUGGAAGUAGAGGAGAGUGAAUGGGGGAGAGGGGACCGACCUGUGGGGCUGUGACCCUCAGACGGCAGACACUCAGAGCCGAAAGCCAGUGAAGAGAGGGUUGAGGACACGGCUCCUCCGAGGAAAGCCGUCAAGGAGCCAGCAUCCCUUCUGUCUUGUUGUACUCUCCUCUGGGAGGUGGUUCUCCUCGGCCCUCAGAUUCUCAGCCCUCAGAGAGGGGUGUGAUAUUAGCACCUGCCUUUCCACGUUCUUCCAGAAAGAGGGUCUGAUUGGAGUAUGGAAGAUGUGGAAGAAGCCACAUGUCCUUUCCAGCCUGAGUUUUGGAGAUAAUGUGAGACUCUGGAAUGAGCCCUGCUUUUUCUAACACCAGGAAAAACAAGCUGUAUUUAGGGGUUCUUUGGUCUGGGAAAGAGCAACAUCCCAACAAAAGCUUGGGAUGUUUCUGACAAAUUAUUAGAGAUCAUUUGAUACAAAAAAAAAACAAAAACCCAAAAACAGAAACGCGUCAAGGAUUGAAAUCGUACCCGAUUGUUAGUACAGUCUAUUUUUCCCAGCUCCUAUUUGGUGCCCAAAUAAACUGCAAUUGAAGG